AGGAUUGCUUUCUAUACAAUCAAUUCUAUUUUUUACCUUUUCCCUCAUUCUUUCCCGCCACAACCACCAACGGCAAUCAAGCCAGCCAAGCCCAGGUAGCACUUCACCUUCUCUCCCCCCUCCAUGCCCACACUAUCUCCAUCGAUUUAACUGCCAUCUUUUGAGGGGUCUCAUGUUUGUUAACUCCAGCUCCGAGUUAGAGAGGGCAUCCAUAAUGCGCUUGUAGGGUUCGCUAAAGAGCGUAGCACAUUCAACUUCUCUUACAUAGU
rnacentral:lncRNA from 1 species